rnacentral:tRNA from 1 species
GCCUGAGUGGCUCAGUCAGUUAAGCAUCUGAUUUCAGCUCAGGACAUGAUCUCACAGUUCGUGGGUUCAAGCCCUGCUUCGGGCU